rnacentral:rRNA from 1 species
UACGUAGGGUGCAAGCGUUGUCCGGAAUUAUUGGGCGUAAAGAGUUCGUAGGCGGUUUGUUGCGUCGGCUGUGAAAUCCCGAGGCUCAACCUCGGGUCUGCAGUCGAUACGAGCAAACUAGAGUGUUGCAGGGGAGACUGGAAUUCCUGGUGUAGCGGUGAAGUGCGCAGAUAUCAGGAGGAACACCGGUGGCGAAGGCGGGUCUCUGGGCAACAACUGACGCUGAGGAGCGAAAGCGUGGGGAGCGAACAGG